UGCCUCAGAUACACUGAAGAAAAAAAAGAAAAGAGAGAGAGUCAGAGAAAGCUCUGAAGAAAAAGAAGAGAGUUGAGUUGAGUGAAGUGUGAUCCUCAUCCUUUGUAAUAUUUUUUUGUAUUUCACUAUUUAUUAGUGAAACUCUUUUUGUGAAUGUAGGCAGUUGCCAAGCCACGUUAAAUUUUUGGUGUCACUGUGUGCGUGGGUAUGUUUAUUUAUUCCACUGUGUG